GACGAACGCUGGCGGCGUGCUUAACACAUGCAAGUCGAGCGAGAAACCUUCGGGUUUCUAGCGGCGGACGGGGGAGUAACACAUGGGUAACCUGCCUCAAAGAGGGGAAUAGCCUCCCGAAAGGGAGAUUAAUACCGCAUAAUAUUACAGCUUCGCAUGAAGCAGUAAUUAAAGGAGUAAUCCGCUUUGAGAUGGACCCGCGGCGCAUUAGCUAGUUGGAGAGGUAACGGCUCACCAAGGCGACGAUGCGUAGCCGACCUGAGAGGGUGAUCGGCCACAUUGGAACUGAGACACGGUCCAAACUCCUACGGGAGGCAGCAGUGGGGAAUAUUGCACAAUGGGCGAAAGCCUGAUGCAGCAACGCCGCGUGAGUGAUGACGGUCUUCGGAUUGUAAAGCUCUGUCUUUUGGGACGAUAAUGACGGUACCAAAGGAGGAAGCCACGGCUAACUACGUGCCAGCCGCCGCAGUAA
rnacentral:rRNA from 1 species